UAGGCGUAAAUGAUGCGAGUUAAGUGUGGGGGCAUCUACGAGAUGGCCCUGUGCUGUAGGGUAGCCGUUAAACUCGCUGCCUGGGGAGUACGGUCGCAAGGCUGAACUUAAGGAUUGGCGGGGGAGCACCACAACGGGUGGAGCCUGCGGUUUAAUUGGACUCAACGCCGGGAAGCUCACCGGAUAAGACAGCGGAAUGAUUGCCGGGCUGAAGACCCUGCAUGACCAGCUGAGAGGAGGUGCAUGGCGUAGUCGUGU
rnacentral:rRNA from 1 species